rnacentral:lncRNA from 1 species
CGCAGCACAAAACUAUUUAACUGUACGAGCAGCCUAGGAGAUGAAUAAGCGACGCUCAGCAUUUACUUUGCCGAAUUGCGCACAGCGUAAACUGCGAGGUCCUCCUCGCUUAAGCUCCAAGUGCAAAUAAUGGCCUGAAUGUCAACGUUGAAAUGAGAUCCCCGUAACCGAAGCUGCAGUUUAGCGGGAGACCUAAUGCCGAGGCCGAACACUGCAUUCGAUACUUUCUAACUGAGAGCCCUAUACGAGCGCGCAGUAAAUGCUAAAUGCAAAAGCGUGGUCUGCUUUAUCUUAGUAUUAUUGCACUGUGUUUCUAGUAACGAACAUGCCCGGAAUCGAGUCAUGGUAGUUCACCCUGUCAGCCUCGCACAACCACGCGUUCGCACUGCCGUCU